rnacentral:rRNA from 1 species
UACGAAGGGGGCUAGCGUUGCUCGGAAUCACUGGGCGUAAAGGGUGCGUAGGCGGGUUUUUUAAGCAGAGGUGAAAUCCUGGAGCUCAACUCCAGAACUGCCUUUGAUACUGAAAGUCUUGAGUAUGGGAGAGGUGAGUGGAACUGCGAGUGUAGAGGUGAAAUUCGUAGAUAUUCGCAAGAACACCAGUGGCGAAGGCGGCUCACUGGCCCAUUACUGACGCUGAGGCACGAAAGCGUGGGGAGCAAACAGG